rnacentral:rRNA from 1 species
CCCUCAGGAUGGGGACAACGACUGGAAACGGUCGCUAAUACCCAAUGUGCCGAGAGGUGAAACUUAUAUGGCCUGAGGAUGAGCUCGCGUCUGAUUAGCUAGUUGGAGUGGUAACGGCACCCCAAGGCGACGAUCAGUAGCUGGUCUGAGAGGAUGAUCAGCCACACUGGGACUGAGACACGGCCCAGACUCCUACGGGAGGCAGCAGUGGGGAAUUUUCCGCAAUGGGCGCAAGCCUGACGGAGCAAGACCGCGUGAGGGAGGAAGGCCUACUGGUUGUAAACCUCUUUUGAUAGGGAAGAAGACAAUGACGGUACCUAUCGAAUCAGCCUCGGCUAACUCCGUGCCAGCAGCCGCGGUAAUACGGAGGAGGCAAGCGUUAUCCGGAAUUAUUGGGCGUAAAGCGUCCGUAGGUGGCAAGCCAAGUCAGUUGUUAAAGCGUGGAGCUUAACUCCAUAUCAGCAAUUGAAACUGGUUUGCUAGAGUGCGAUAGGGGCAAGGGGAAUUCCCAGUGUAGCGGUGAAAUGCGUAGAUAUUGGGAAGAACAUCGGUGGCGAAAGCGCCUUGCUGGGUCUGCACUGACACUGAGGGACGAAAGCUAGGGGA